rnacentral:rRNA from 1 species
AUACGGAGGGUCCGAGCGUUAAUCGGAAUUACUGGGCGUAAAGCGCGCGUAGGCGGCUAUAUAAGUCAGAUGUGAAAUCCCUGGGCUCAACCUAGGAACUGCAUUUGAAACUGUAUGGCUAGAGUAUGGUAGAGGUGAGUGGAAUUUCAGGUGUAGCGGUGAAAUGCGUAGAGAUCUGAAGGAACAUCCGUGGCGAAGGCGACUCACUGGGCCAUUACUGACGCUGAGGUGCGAAAGCGUGGGUAGCAAACAGGAUUAGAAACCCCAGUAGUCC